rnacentral:piRNA from 1 species
UGAAUGGAGGUAUUGCACCUACUCUGUUU